AAUUCGAAGCAACGCGAAGACCUUACCAGGUCUUGACAUCCCGAUGCUAUUUCUAGAGAUAGAAAGUUACUUCGGUACAUCGGUGACAGGUGGUGCAUGGUUGUCGUCAGCUCGUGUCGUGAGAUGUUGGGUUAAGUCCCGCAACGAGCGCAACCCCUAUUGUUAGUUGCCAUCAUUCAGUUGGGCACUCUAGCGAGACUGCCGGUAAUAAACCGGAGAAGUGGGGAUGACGUCAAAUCAUCAUGCCCCUUAUGACCUGGGCUACACACGUGCUACAAUGGUUGGUACAACGAGUUGCGAGUCGGUGACGGCGAGCUAAUCUCUUAAAGCCAAUCUCAGUUCGGAUUGUAGGCUGCAACUCGCCUACAUGAAGUCGGAAUCGCUAGUAAUCGCGGAUCAGCACGCCGCGGUCGAAUACGUUCCCGGGCCUU
rnacentral:rRNA from 1 species